rnacentral:tRNA from 1 species
GGAGAUGUACUUUAUAUAGAAGGAUUGGUUUGCAGCCAAUUAGAGGCUAAUGCUCAACUCCA